CAUACGGCGUGACAAGGGGCGCGGUAAGACGGUGUGUGCAAGUGUUAAUCGUAAUUACUGGGCGUAAAGCCCACGCAUGCGGUUGUAUAAGUUAGGUUAGAAAGCCCCGUGCUCAACCAGGGAAUUGCAUGUAAAUCUGUCCAGCUAGAGUCUUGUAGAGGGGGGGAGAAUUCCAGGGGUAGCGGUGAAAUGCGUAGAGAUCUGUAGGAAUACCGGUGGCGAAGGCGGCCCCCUGGACAAAGACUGACGCUCAGGUGCGAAAGCGUGGGGAGCAAACAGGAUUAGAUACCCUAGUAGUC
rnacentral:rRNA from 1 species